UACGUAGGGGGCAAGCGUUGUCCGGAAUCAUUGGGCGUAAAGCGCGUGUAGGCGGCCCGGUAAGUCCGCUGUGAAAGUCGGGGGCUCAACCCUCGGAUGCCGGUGGAUACUGUCGGGCUAGAGUGCGGGAGAGGCGAGUGGAAUUCCGUGGUGAUAGCGGUGAAAUGCGCAGAUAUCAGGAGGAACACCAAUUGCGAAGGCAGCUCGCUG
rnacentral:rRNA from 1 species